GUGUGAUGCUACAUUUUAACAACUGAAUUUAGGGCAAUCACAUAUUACUAUAGAACUGUAUAUUAUACUUAACAUGUUUAAUUAUUUCAAAUUAAUUUUGCUUUGUUACGAGUUCCUUGAGUUCAUGAAAGCCUUCAUGAUUUGCCUGGAUGUUGUCGUUUGGUGUUACACUACAGCAUCCUGUUGAAGAAACAACCUCUGCAAAUACAACAGAACCCAUAUACAACACACCCUAAGAAGUAAUAACUUUCUGAAAUCUAGUCAUUCAGAUCUCAGUCACCCUGCUGGAUCUCCAGUGGUCCACUUGUGACAGUAUUGCAAUCUUCUCCGUGUGCUGUGACCUUGACGUGGUGGAGAAGCUUGAGGUCCUCCGGCACUUGGAGAACUAUGAGAGCAGGUUCAAACACAAAAUCACAACUAGGAGGACAAACUAACAACAGCAAGUUUUUUUGUAGCAGCUCCAGAGACAUGCAUGGACAGCAAUAUCAUUAAAAGACUCACUCAUCCCUGACACAACAACAAAUAGACAGCAUUUGAAAUAACAUACUGCAAGAGGGCCAACUACAUAUGUAGGGAGACCAGGGCUAGUGCACACUUUUCUCAGUGACUGUUUACUAGGGUUGUAUUUCAAAGUCAGUGUGGUCAAUUGAUGGUAAAAAGUGAUUCAUGAAACAGCUGAAAUUAAAAAGGUCACAUACACGUACAAAUAUCAGUUUACAAAUCAGCCUCAAUUGCCCCAAAAGUACGUUUUAAUAUAUAUUGCACUUUGUGUUGUACAAUAUUGUUUCUAACAGCAGUUCGCUUAACCUUAUUUGAACAUUAAGAACAACAUUUUUCUGCUUGCUUACUUCACUGUGUAUAUAAUGCACAUCCACUAAUGUCAGAUUGGCUGCCCUAUGUUUUAAAUUUCAUUUAUAAUUUUCUGCUCAUAAAUACAGUAGCCCUAAAAAGUAUUUGGACACGUUUGGGCCCUUAAGCCGCGCUUACAAUGUAUAAAUUAUAUUUUAUA
rnacentral:lncRNA from 1 species